rnacentral:rRNA from 1 species
AGCUACAGGCUUAACACAUGCAAGUCGAGGGGCAUCAGGAAGAAAGCUUGCUUUCUUUGCUGGCGACCGGCGCACGGGUGAGUAACACGUAUCCAACCUGCCCUUUACUCGGGGAUAGCCUUUCGAAAGAAAGAUUAAUACCCGAUAGCAUAAUGAUUCCGCAUGGUUUCAUUAUUAAAGGAUUCCGGUAAAGGAUGGGGAUGCGUUCCAUUAGGUUGUUGGUGAGGUAACGGCCCACCAAGCCUUCGAUGGAUAGGGGUUCUGAGAGGAAGGUCCCCCACAUUGGAACUGAGACACGGUCCAAACUCCUACGGGAGGCAGCAGUGAGGAAUAUUGGUCAAUGGGCGCUAGCCUGAACCAGCCAAGUAGCGUGAAGGAUGAAGGCUCUAUGGGUCGUAAACUUCUUUUAUAUAAGAAUAAAGUGCAGUAUGUAUACUGUUUUGUAUGUAUUAUAUGAAUAAGGAUCGGCUAACUCCGUGCCAGCAGCCGCGGUAAUACGGAGGAUCCGAGCGUUAUCCGGAUUUAUUGGGUUUAAAGGGAGCGUAGGUGGACUGGUAAGUCAGUUGUGAAAGUUUGCGGCUCAACCGUAAAAUUGCAGUUGAUACUGUCAGUCUUGAGUACAGUAGAGGUGGGCGGAAUUCGUGGUGUAGCGGUGAAAUGCUUAGAUAUCACGAAGAACUCCGAUUGCGAAGGCAGCUCACUGGACUGCAACUGACACUGAUGCUCGAAAGUGUGGGUAUCAAACAGGAUUAGAUACCCUGGUAGUCCACACAGUAAACGAUGAAUACUCGCUGUUUGCGAUAUACAGUAAGCGGCCAAGCGAAAGCAUUAAGUAUUCCACCUGGGGAGUACGCCGGCAACGGUGAAACUCAAAGGAAUUGACGGGGGCCCGCACAAGCGGAGGAACAUGUGGUUUAAUUCGAUGAUACGCGAGGAACCUUACCCGGGCUUAAAUUGCAGUGGAAUGAUGUGGAAACAUGUCAGUGAGCAAUCACCGCUGUGAAGGUGCUGCAUGGUUGUCGUCAGCUCGUGCCGUGAGGUGUCGGCUUAAGUGCCAUAACGAGCGCAACCCUUAUCUUCAGUUACUAACAGGUCAUGCUGAGGACUCUGGAGAGACUGCCGUCGUAAGAUGUGAGGAAGGUGGGGAUGACGUCAAAUCAGCACGGCCCUUACGUCCGGGGCUACACACGUGUUACAAUGGGGGGUACAGAAGGCAGCUAGCGGGUGACCGUAUGCUAAUCCCAAAAGCCUCUCUCAGUUCGGAUCGAAGUCUGCAACCCGACUUCGUGAAGCUGGAUUCGCUAGUAAUCGCGCAUCAGCCACGGCGCGGUGAAUACGUUCCCGGGCCUUGUACACACCGCCCGUCAAGCCAUGGGAGCCGGGGGUACCUGAAGUACGUAACCGCAAGGAUCGUCCUAGGGUAAAACUGGUGACUGGGGCUAAGUAG